AUUGAACGCUGGCGGCAUGCCUUACACAUGCAAGUCGAACGGCAGCACGGACUUCGGUCUGGUGGCGAGUGGCGAACGGGUGAGUAAUACAUCGGAACGUGCCUGGUAGUGGGGGAUAACCACUCGAAAGAGUGGCUAAUACCGCAUGAGAUCUACGGAUGAAAGCAGGGGAUCGCAAGACCUUGUGCUACUAGAGCGGCCGAUGGCAGAUUAGGUAGUUGGUGGGAUAAAAGCUUACCAAGCCAACGAUCUGUAGCUGGUCUGAGAGGACGAUCAGCCACACUGGGACUGAGACACGGCCCAGACUCCUACGGGAGGCAGCAGUGGGGAAUUUUGGACAAUGGGCGAAAGCCUGAUCCAGCAAUGCCGCGUGCAGGAUGAAGGCCUUCGGGUUGUAAACUGCUUUUGUACGGAACGAAAAGCUUCGGGUUAAUACCCUGGAGUCAUGACGGUACCGUAAGAAUAAGCACCGGCUAACUACGUGCCAGCCGCCGCGGUAA
rnacentral:rRNA from 1 species